UGGUGGAGUGAUUUGUCUGGUUAAUUCCGAUAACGAACGAGACCCCCUCCUACUUACUAGACUGUGGAUGAUUCACGCAUCCUCAGACUCUUCUUAGAGGGACAACUGGCGUACAUCCAGCUACAUGAAAUAGGGGCGAAUAACA
rnacentral:rRNA from 1 species